UACGGGGGGUCCAAGCGUUGUUCGGAAUCACUGGGCGUAAAGCGCAUGUAGGUGGCUUUUCAAGUCAACUGUGAAAGCCCCGGGCCUAACCCGGGAAGUGCAGUUGAAACUGUUGAGCUUGAGUACGAGAGAGGAUAGUGGAAUUCCAGGUGUAGUGGUGAAAUACGUAGAUAUCUGGAGGAACAUCGGUGGCGAAGGCGGCUAUCUGGCUCGAUACUGACACUGAGAUGCGAAAGCGUGGGGAUCAAACAGG
rnacentral:rRNA from 1 species